GACGAACGCUGGCGGCGUGCUUAACACAUGCAAGUCGAACGGUGAAGGGACCGGUUUUUGCUGGUUCUGGAUGAGUGGCGAACGGGUGAGUAACACGUGAGUAACCUGCCCCCUUCUUCUGGAUAACCGCAUGAAAGUGUGGCUAAUACGGGAUAUUCUGCGCCUGCUGCAUGGUGGGUGUGGGAAAGAUAUUGUUUCGGUGGGGGAUGGGCUCGCGGCCUAUCAGCUUGUUGGUGGGGUGAUGGCCUACCAAGGCGGUGACGGGUAGCCGGCCUGAGAGGGUGGACGGUCACACUGGGACUGAGACACGGCCCAGACUCCUACGGGAGGCAGCAGUGGGGAAUAUUGCACAAUGGGCGCAAGCCUGAUGCAGCGACGCCGCGUGAGGGAUGGAGGCCGUCGGGUUGUAAACCUCUUUCGCCAGUGAAGCAGGCCUGUCCCUUUUGUGGGUGGGUUGACGGUAGCUGGAUAAGAAGCGCCGGCUAACUACGU
rnacentral:rRNA from 1 species